rnacentral:rRNA from 1 species
UACGAAGGGGCUAGCGUUGUUCGGAAUUACUGGGCGUAAAGCGUAUGUAGGCGGAUCGUUAAGUCGGGGGUGAAAUCCCGAGGCUCAACCUCGGAACUGCCUUCGAUACUGGCGAUCUUCGAGUCCGGGAGAGGUGAGUGGAACUCCGAGUGUAGAGGUGAAAUUCGUAGAUAUUCGGAAGAACACCAGUGGCGAAGGCGGCUCACUGGCCCGGUACUGACGCUGAAAUACGAAAGCGUGGGGAGCAAACAGG